GAAAUGCGAUAAGUAAUGUGAAUUGCAGAAUUCAGUGAAUCAUCGAAUCUUUGAACGCACAUUGCGCCCCUUGGUAUUCCGAGGGGCAUGCCUGUUCGAGCGUCAUUACACCACUCAAGCUAUGCUUGGUAUUGGGUGCCGUCCUUAGUUGGGCGCGCCUUAAAGACCUCGGCGAGGCCUCACCGGCUUUAGGCGUAGUAGAAUUUAUUCGAACGUCUGUCAAAGGAGAGGACUUCUGCCGACUGAAACCUUUUAUUUUUCUAGGUUGACCUCGGAUCAGGUAGUGAUACCCGCUGAACUUAAGC
rnacentral:misc_RNA from 1 species